AGAGUUUGAUCAUGGCUCAGAACGAACGCUGGCGGCAGGCCUAACACAUGCAAGUCGAACGCCCCGCAGGGGAGUGGCAGACGGGUGAGUAACACGUGGGAACCUUCCCUAUAGUACGGAAUAGCCCAGGGAAACUUGGAGUAAUACCGUAUACGCCCGAAAGGGGAAAGAAUUUCGCUAUAGGAUGGGCCCGCGUAGGAUUAGCUAGUUGGUGAGGUAAUGGCUCACCAAGGCGACGAUCCUUAGCUGGUUUGAGAGAACGACCAGCCACACUGGGACUGAGACACGGCCCAGACUCCUACGGGAGGCAGCAGUGGGGAAUAUUGGACAAUGGGCGCAAGCCUGAUCCAGCCAUGCCGCGUGAGUGAUGAAGGCCUUAGGGUUGUAAAGCUCUUUUGCCGGGGACGAUAAUGACGGUACCCGGAGAAUAAGUCCCGGCUAACUUCGUGCCAGCAGCCGCGGUA
rnacentral:rRNA from 1 species